AGCUUCAGUAGCGUAUAUUAAAGUUGUUGCAGUUAAAAAGCUCGUAGUCGCAUUUCUGGCGAGAGGAUCCGGUCCGACCUUUUGGUGGGUUCUUGGGUCUCUUUCGCCAUCCUUGAGUGGUCCGUUCUGGCAUUAGGUUGUCGGAGCGUCAGCCGCUCAUCGUUUACUGUGAGAAAAUUAGAGUGUUCAAAGCAGGCUUAUGCCGUUGAAUAUAUUAGCAUGGAAUAAUAAGAUAGGACCGCGGUACUAUUGUGUGGGUUUGCGCACCAAGGUAAUGAUGAACAGGGACAGUUGGGGGUAUUUGUAUUUCGUUGUCAGAGGUGAAAUUCUUAGAUUUACGAAAGACAAACUACUGCGAAAGCAUUUACCAAGGAUGUUUUCA
rnacentral:rRNA from 1 species